GAUGAACGCUGGCGGCGUGCCUAAUACAUGCAAGUCGAGCGAACAGAUGAGGAGCUUGCUCCUCUGACGUUAGCGGCGGACGGGUGAGUAACACGUGGAUAACCUACCUAUAAGACUGGUAUAACUACGGGAAACCGGAUCUAAUACCGGAUAAUAUAUUGAACCGCAUGGUUCAAUAGUGAAAGACGGUUUUGCUGUCACUUAUAGAUGGAUCCGCGCCGCAUUAGCUAGUUGGUAAGGUAACGGCUUACCAAGGCAACGAUGCGUAGCCGACCUGAGAGGGUGAUCGGCAACCCUGGAAAUGAGAAACGGCCCAGACUCCUACGGGAGGAAGAAGUAGGGAAUCUUCCGAAAUGGGCGAAAGCCUAACGGAGCAACGCCGCGUGAGUGAUGAAGGUCUUCGGAUCGUAAAACUCUGUUAUUAGGGAAGAACAAAUGUGUAAGUAAAUAUGCACGUCUUGACGGUACCUAAUCAGAAAGCCACGGCUAACUACGUG
rnacentral:rRNA from 1 species